AGUUAAGGUAGUUAAAUUAUAACAUAACACUGAAGCUGUUAAAGUAAGCCAAGCUUCCUUAAC
rnacentral:tRNA from 1 species